CUACAAGGAAAAUAGAUCUAUUAUCUUCAGGAGUCUCUUCUCUCUACAUCUUUCCAUUCCUCCUCCUUUCAAUACAAAAUCCUAAUCUCAAUCUCACCAUCUCACCAUCUCUCCUUCUCCAUCACAUGUCUUUACUCAUCGUCACUUUGUUCUUCCGGAAUCCAUACUCCUCCUGAGAACGGCUCUCUCUCUCCUCUGCAUUCGAAUCUGAACCCAACACUCGCCUCUCUCUCAAUCUCCUUUCAUGUUUGCUCCUCAGGUUUCGGUGCUUCCUCUUCAAAGAACAGAUGAAAUCCACAUCCCAAACCCAUCUUGGAUGCAAUCUCCUUCCCCACGAGCAACAAAAUUCGUCUCCGUUCCCAAAUUUCUUCUCUCCAAUCCUCAAUUUUUUGAACUGAUCAUAGAAAUUCUUCUCUAUUUUUUUUAUUGCAGCAGGAAAAUUCAUCUCAGCCAUAAGAUGAAAGUUGCCUUUGGAGGUAUGGAUCCUGUGAGUCAGCCACCACGUCAACCUGACCGUAGCAAUGAGCAGACAGAAACCUAAAAUGUUCUUGCACUCCCAGGUCCGAAAGGUUCUAAGAGUACCCAAAAGGAUGUGACAGAGAAUGCUCUUGUUAUUGGUCCAACUUUACACCCAAAGGGCUUGUGGACAAGGCAGAUAAGCUUGAUGGAGGAGGAGGUAGCAAAAGCGGUGGGUCGUUAGCCUCAGGGACAUUAGGUUAGAGUGGAGAAGGUCCAAGCUCCGGUGUGUGACUGGAAGACAUCAAGGUUGGAGUAAUUAACGUCCAAGCUCCAUCUGUUUCUAGCUUUGUUAUCUGAAGGGAGGACUUCCGUUAGACUUACAAGAAGUAACAUCCCAACAACAAGUCUGUUGCUGCUGUUGGAAAAGCUGGUGUAGAGAAGUUGAAAUCCUUGUCUGAUUCUGAGAAGACUCUUGAAGGAUGAUAAGCGCAAGGUUGAGUAUAAGAAGACAAGAAAUUCUGAUUUUCCCGAGUCAUUCACAAGGAGAGGAGGAGAAAAAAAAA